rnacentral:lncRNA from 1 species
AAGGGGUCUAGAGCUUUGAUAAAAAUACACGAUUCCUGCUCUGCCUAAAGCAUAUGCGUCUUUCCUGCAGGUGUUUACUCAACUGGCCCUGUGAAAACAUUAAGCCAGGAAAGGAAACAUCAAAGUAUGCUUCCAUUUUAAGUCCUGAAAAAUGGUGAUUGGCACGAAUGCAGCACUCAUGAAGAAACAUAACCAAAUGUAUAAUAAACGGGACUGAACUUACCCUAUUGACGUGAAGAAAACCUUUGGUUUGAAGAGAUAAAAGAGAGUAGUUUCAUUCAGGUCACGAAGGAGGGCAACACAGUGUAUUUACAGGCCUGCAAGGCCUGUGACUCUCCAGUGGGAGGUCGGAGCUCCCAGAACUUGCUGCUGCCAGGAGAGCUCUGUGGGUAUAAAGGCAGCACGGACUCUCAGGUAUCCACCCCCUUGAAUGAUUUUUAAACAAGCU